UACGUAGGGGGCAAGCGUUGUCCGGAAUUAUUGGGCGUAAAGAGCUCGUAGGCGGCUUGUCGCGUCGUCCGUGAAAACCCACAGCUCAACUGUGGGCUUGCGGUCGAUACGGGCAGGCUAGAGUUCGGUAGGGGAGACUGGAAUUCCUGGUGUAGCGGUGAAAUGCGCAGAUAUCAGGAGGAACACCGGUGGCGAAGGCGGGUCUCUGGGCCGAUACUGACGCUGAGGAGCGAAAGCGUGGGGGAGCGAACAGG
rnacentral:rRNA from 1 species